rnacentral:rRNA from 1 species
GAUUAAGUUAUUAAGGGCGCACGGUGGAUGCCUUGGCACUAGAAGCCGAUGAAGGACGUUACUAACGACGAUAUGCUUUGGGGAGCUGUAAGUAAGCUUUGAUCCAGAGAUUUCCGAAUGGGGAAACCCAGCAUGAGUUAUGUCAUGUUAUCGAUAUGUGAAUACAUAGCAUAUCAGAAGGCACACCCGGAGAACUGAAACAUCUUAGUACCCGGAGGAAGAGAAAGAAAAUUCGAUUCCCUUAGUAGCGGCGAGCGAAACGGGAAGAGCCCAAACCAACAAGCUUGCUUGUUGGGGUUGUAGGACACUCUAUACGGAGUUACAAAGGACGACAUUAGACGAAUCAUCUGGAAAGAUGAAUCAAAGAAGGUAAUAAUCCUGUAGUCGAAAAUGUUGUCUCUCUUGAGUGGAUCCUGAGUACGACGGAGCACGUGAAAUUCCGUCGGAAUCUGGGAGGACCAUCUCCUAAGGCUAAAUACUCUCUAGUGACCGAUAG